AUUAGCUAGUUGGUGAGGUAACGGCUCACCAAGGCGACGAUGCGUAGCCGACCUGAGAGGGUGAUCGGCCACAUUGGGACUGAGACACGGCCCAGACUCCUACGGGAGGCAGCAGUGGGGAAUAUUGCACAAUGGGGGAAACCCUGAUGCAGCAACGCCGCGUGAGUGAUGAAGGUUUUCGGAUCGUAAAACUCUGUCUUUGGGGACGAUAAUGACGGUACCCAAGGAGGAAGCCACGGCUAACUACGUGCCAGCAGCCGCGGUAAUACGUAGGUGGCAAGCGUUGUCCGGAUUUACUGGGCGUAAAGGGAGCGUAGGUGGAUUUUUAAGUGAGAUGUGAAAUACUCGGGCUCAACCCGAGAACUGCAUUUCAAACUGGAAAUCUAGAGUGCAGGAGAGGAAAGUGGAAUUCCUAGUGUAGCGGUGAAAUGCGUAGAUAUUAGGAAGAACACCAGUGGCGAAGGCGACUUUCUGGACUGUAACUGACACUGAGGCUCGAAAGCGUGGGGAGCAAAACAGGAUUAGAUACCCUGGUAGUCCACGCCGUGAACGAUGAAUACUAGGUGUGGGAGUUGUCAUGACUUCCGUGCCGCCGCUAAUCGCAUUAACGUAUUCCGCCUGGGGAGUACCGGUCGCAAGGAUUAAAAUCUGCAAA
rnacentral:rRNA from 1 species